AUCACUGAAGUUAAGCAACAUCGAGCCUGGUUAGUACCUAGAUGGGUGAUCACUUGGGAAUACCAGGUGCUAUA